GAUUAACGCUGGCGGCGUGCAUAACACAUGCAAGUCGAACGAUGAAACUUUAAUGAACCCUUCGGGGAGAAUUAAAGCGGAUUAGUGGCGAACGGGUGAGUAACGCGUGAGUAACCUGCCUUACACAAGGGGAUAGCCUUUGGAAACGAAGAAUAAUACCCUAUAAAACCAUAAAAGCACAUGCAAUUAUGGUCAAAGUGAUAGCGGUGUAAGAUGGACUUGCGUCUGAUUAGCUAGUUGGUGAGAUAAAAGCCCACCAAGGCAACGAGCAGUAGCCGGCGUGAGAGAGGGUACGUCCGCAUUGGGACUGAGACACGGCCCAGACGCCUGCGGGAGGCAGCAGUUAGGGAUUUAGCACAGGAGGGGAAACCCUGAUGCAGCGACGCCGCGUGAUCGAGAAGGCGUUCGGGUUGUAAAAAUCUUUUGUAUAGGAAGAAAAUGACAGUACUAUACGAAUAAGGACCGGCUAAUUACGUG
rnacentral:rRNA from 1 species